AAAUUUAUGUUAACGCCUUAAUGCGUUUCCAGCAGUUUCUCGGAGGGAAAAUUUAAAAGCGGAUUAUUAAAGAGAAGUCCUGACUGCUUUUUCACCGUGUUUUUCACUCUUUUACAGGCUGCCAGAAAGAAUCCGUCUCUAUACGGUGAGGUAUUGUUGCUGUUGCUUUCUGAACUACAAAAUGAGUUUUACAUUCAUUAUUGAGUGAUUAUUGAAUGAGACUGUAAAUUAUAAAUGUAAUGUUUUAACUCUAACUCUAGAUGUUUGUUUGUGUAAAUGCUGUGUGUGCGGUGAGUUCUGCGCGAGCGGGGAGCAGAGUUGCCAUGGAAACGGGGCGUCAACACAAAAACCGUUACUGGCAAGCAGUGAUCUCCGUCUCUUGCUGCAGUUUACACUGUUUUAGGAGGACAGAAAGAAACUCUACAGAACAGAAGUGAAGCUCCAAGAUUUCAACAUUUCUGAAGGGAGAUACUGACUUAGAAAUACAGGUGAACUGAAGAAGCUCAUGAAAUACAUUAAUAUGCCUUUUUCAGAAUAUAUUUCACCAAUUUUAAGAAGUCCCUGACAUCAAAACAUUGCUUGUUUUGUUCCUGGACUCUUCAGUGAUGAUGGCAGAGUCUGAGUGAACCUGCUGUCAGACAGUGAGUA